CCAGGCACAUAGUAGGUGUUUA
rnacentral:miRNA from 12 species